UACGUAGGGUGCAAGCGUUGUCCGGAAUUAUUGGGCGUAAAGAGCUCGUAGGCGGUUCGUCACGUCGGCUGUGAAAUCCCGAGGCUCAACCUCGGGUCUGCAGUCGAUACGGGCGGACUGGAGUACUGCAGGGGAGACUGGAAUUCCUGGUGUAGCGGUGAAAUGCGCAGAUAUCAGGAGGAACACCAAUAGCGAAGGCAGCUCGCUGGGACGUUACUGACACUAAGGCGCGAAAGCGUGGGGAGCGAACAGG
rnacentral:rRNA from 1 species